rnacentral:rRNA from 1 species
CACGUAGGGUGCGAGCGUUGUCCGGAAUUAUUGGGCGUAAAGAGCUCGUAGGCGGUCUGUUGCGUCGGCUGUGAAAACCCGGGGCUCAACCCCGGGCCUGCAGCCGAUACGGGCAGACUAGAGUUCGGCAGGGGAGACUGGAAUUCCUGGUGUAGCGGUGAAAUGCGCAGAUAUCAGGAGGAACACCGGUGGCGAAGGCGGGUCUCUGGGCCGAUACUGACGCUGAGGAGCGAAAGCGUGGGGAGCGAACAGG